CGGGGGGGGCAAGCGUUGUUCGGAAUUACUGGGCGUAAAGGGCGCGUAGGCGGCUCGCUAAGUCGGGUGUGAAAACUCUGGGCUCAACCCAGAGCCUGCAUUCGAAACUGACGGGCUAGAGUUCUGGAGGGGAAAGCGGAAUUCCUGGUGUAGCAGUGAAAUGCGUAGAUAUCAGGAGGAACACCGGUGGCGAAGGCGGCUUUCUGGACAGAAACUGACGCUGACGCGCGAAAGCUAGGGGAGCAAACAGGAUUAGAUACCCUGGUAGUCCUAGCCCUAAACGAUGGAUACUUGCUGUGAGGGGGAUUGAAUCCCUUCGUGGCGAAGCUAACGCAUUAAGUAUCCCGCCUGGGGAGUACGGUCGCAAGGCUG
rnacentral:rRNA from 1 species